GACGUAGGGCGCGAGCGUUGUCCGGAUUUAUUGGGCGUAAAGGGCUCGUAGGCGGUUUGUUAAGUCGGGAGUGAAAACACCGGGCUUAACUCGGUGCUUGCUUUCGAUACGGGCAGACUAGAGGUAUGCAGGGGAGAACGGAAUUCCUGGUGUAGCGGUGAAAUGCGCAGAUAUCAGGAGGAACACCGGUGGCGAAGGCGGUUCUCUGGGCAUUACCUGACGCUGAGGAGCGAAAGUGUGGGGAGCGAACAGG
rnacentral:rRNA from 1 species